CCUACGGGUGGCAGCAGUAGGGAAUAUUGCUCAAUGGGGGAAACCCUGAACCAGCAACGCCGCGUGGAGGAUUACUGCUCUAGGAGUGUUAAACCUCUUUGUUAGAGGAGAUAAUGCCGGUAUCUAACGAAUAAGCACCUGCACACUCCGUACCCGGCGCCGCGGUCAUACGGAGCGUGCAAGCGUUACUCGGAAUCACUAGCCGUAACGAGCGCGUAGGCGGGUUAGCAAGUCACAUGUGAAAUCCUAUGGCUUAACCAUAGUCCUGCAUUUGAAACUGUUAUUCUAGAGUAUGGGAGAGGUAUGUGGAAUUCUUGGUGUAGGGGUAAAAUCCGUAGAGAUCAAGCAGAAUACUCAUUGCGAAGGCGGCCUGCUAGAACAUAACUGACGCUGAUGCACGAAAGCGUGGGGAGCGAACAGGAUUAGAUACCCCGGUAGUC
rnacentral:rRNA from 1 species